UACAGAGGGUGCGAGCGUUAAUCGGAAUUACUGGGCGUAAAGCGUGCGUAGACGGUAGCGUAAGUCAGAUGUGAAAGCCCCGGGCUCAACCUGGGAAUUGCAUUUGAGACUGCUCUGCUCGGGUGCGGAAGAGGGAAGCGGAAUUUCCGGUGUAGCGGUGAAAUGCGUAGAUAUCGGAAGGAACACCAGUGGCGAAAGCGGCUUCCUGGUCCGACACCGACGUUCAGGCACGAAAGCAUGGGGAGCAAAAGGG
rnacentral:rRNA from 1 species